CUUUGAUGGCAGCGGCACAGUUGACCAUGAGUGGUGUCACAACUACCAAAGGCUUAGUUAUGAUUUUGACUCUGCUGUGUCUGCUCCAUCUUUCAAGUGCACUGAUAAACAAGGACGAACUGGAGGACCUGAAGGAAAAAGUUGAAACAUUACAAAAGUUAAUAGCAAGAAGGAAGGCUGAAAAUAAUUUAGACAGAGCCUAUGUUCCAGCUAUCUUUUAUGAUUUUGGACGUCUCAUGGAUCCUUUGACUGAAGUUAUGAAGCCAUUGUUGAUUUCUACAUCACUGCUUAGACCAGUGUUGGAUUUAAUGGAUGACCUAAAGACUUUCAUGGGAGCCAGCAAGGAGUACAUGGAUAAGUACUUUGAGACAACAGCUGCAGAAAUCAAUGACAAUGAAGAGAAACUACGCAGUGUGAUGGCAACACUAACACAACUAGAAAAUAAUAAAGAUGAACUGUAGCAUGUUAGUCAGCGUCUGUCUCUGGUAUUAAAUGUUCUGUAUCUGUAAAACUUCUCUUUCAUACUGUGCUGCCUCAAAAUCAAAGCUAACUGUACACUUGACUUGUAAACUUUGACAAGAAAAUUUA